UGAUCGGUAGCUCAAUUGGUAACGCGUUGGACUACCAAUCUUGACGUCGGGGGUUCGAUCCCCGCGCUGCGCAA